AUUUAAGAGGAUCUCUACAGAAAUUUAAAAUUUCAUCAAUAUUCCACAACAAUAAUUCCUAGUCAUCGAAUAAAACGGAAUAAACAUUAUUUUUGAGACGUCUGCUAAUCAGCUGACUAGUAUUUAUAGAAGGAAGAGGUAAAAUUUUGAGGUUAGGUUUGAAAGUAUUAAAAAUUUUUCAAAAAACUUUUCUUAUCAUAAUUGAUAUUCUACUUCAAUCUUUGACAAAAUAUUGUCGUAUUAGAUGUCAACAACAUGUUGGAAUUUGUAAUAUAGCUUUCUUUGCAUCAAGUGUUUCUUUUAAUUACUGACAGUACUUCACUUUUCAAAGGAGAGCUAUUUCUGAAUGGUAGAUGAGCGAG